rnacentral:rRNA from 11 species
CCUGGAAAGACCUAAGUAUCUUAAAAACAUAGAUCCUAUCUGAUUUCAGAAGCUAAACAGAGGCAGUCCUAGAUAGUGCUUAGAUGGGAGAUCACCAGUGAAUACCAGUUGCUGCAGGC